rnacentral:ncRNA from 2 species
CUCUUAUCAAGAGCAGGUGGAGGGAUUUGGCCCGAUGAAACCCAGCAACCGACCGUAAUACCAUUGUGAGAUGGGGCGCUUAUGCGCCAAAAAGGCACGGUGCUAAUUCCAGCAGAAAGAAUAGCUUUCUGACAGAUAAGAG